UACGUAGGGGGCGAGCGUUGUCCGGAAUUAUUGGGCGUAAAGAGCUCGUAGGCGGUCUGUCGCGUCGAUCGUGAAAACUUGGGGCUUAACCCUGAGCUUGCGGUCGAUACGGGCAUGACUGGAGUUCGGCAGGGGAGACUGGAAUUCCCGGUGUAGCGGUGAAAUGCGCAGAUAUCGGGAAGAACACCCGUGGCGAAGGCGGUUCUCUGGGACGGUACUGACGCUGAGACGCGAAAGCGUGGGGAGCGAACAGG
rnacentral:rRNA from 1 species